GACGAACGCUGGCGGCGUGCUUAACACAUGCGAGUCGAACGAUGAACUUGGAGCUUGCUCUGGGGGAUUAGUGGCGAACGGGUGAGUAACACGUGAGUAACCUGCCCUGGACUCUGGGAUAACUUCGAGAAAUCGGAGCUAAUACCGGAUUGGACCUUGCACCGCAUGGUGUGGGGUGGAAAGUUUUUCGGUUUGGGAUGGACUCGCGGCCUAUCAGCUUGUUGGUGAGGUAAUGGCUCACCAAGGCGUCGACGGGUAGCCGGCCUGAGAGGGUGACCGGCCACACUGGGACUGAGACACGGCCCAGACUCCUACGGGAGGCAGCAGUGGGGAAUAUUGCACAAUGGGCGCAAGCCUGAUGCAGCAACGCCGCGUGCGGGAUGACGGCCUUCGGGUUGUAAACCGCUUUUAGUAGGGAAGAAGCCUUCGGGUGACGGUACCUGCAGAAAAAGGACCGGCUAACUACGUGCCAGCAGCCGCCGUAAAAC
rnacentral:rRNA from 1 species